AUCAAUCUGAUGAGUUCCAAAUAGGACGAAAUGCGCAUCCUGGAU
rfam:Schistosoma mattheei strain Denwood, Zambia genome assembly, scaffold: SMTD_scaffold0002608